rnacentral:rRNA from 1 species
CCUACGGGAGGCAGCAGUGAGGAAUAUUGGUCAAUGGACGAGAGUCUGAACCAGCCAAGUAGCGUGAAGGAUGAAUGCCCUAUGGGGUGUAAACUUCUUUUAUAGGGGAAUAAAAUGUUCCACGUGUGGGAUUUUGUAUGUACCAUAUGAAUAAGGAUCGGCUAACUCCGUGCCAGCAGCCGAGGUAAUACGGAGGAUCCGAGCGUUAUCCGGAUUUAUUGGGGUUAAAGGGAGCGUAGGGGGAUUGUUAAGUCAGUUUUGAAAGUUUGCGGCUCAACCGUAAAAUUGCAGUUGCAACUGGCAGUCUUGAGUACAGUAGAGGUGGGCUGCAUUCGUGUUGUAGCGGU